UAUAAAAGACAGCCAUAUAUUUCUUCUUUGGGUACCAACUAACCAGUUGGCAAAUAACAACCCCAUAAUUUCUGAUUUCUCAUACAGCAUCAUAUGUAAUUUGAAGUUUUAUUGAAGAUCUUUGAGACCAAUUUUCAAAGGAAAAAUAUAUGAGGACUUAUUUGAUCACUUAGUUGGCCUUUUUGUGUUUUUUCUCUUAUGCAGGAACCUAUGAUCCAUUGGAUCCCAAUGGAAAUAUCACCAUCAAAUGGGAUGUCAUGUCCUGGACUCCUGAUGGCUAUGUUGUAUGUUCCCUUCUCCAAAUCUCAGUUUAUUCUUUCUUUUGCAUUAUAUAUUUAGUUAUCUAUAGUUUAAAGAAAAAAAAAAUGAUCUUUUAAAAACUAAUAACUUAUAUUUAACUUAUCAUACGAUAAUUAAUCUCGAGAUUAGUUAUCCCGGGAUUACCUAGGGUAACUUAUCGCACCAUGCAUAUGCGAUAACUUAUCCCAUCACUAUGGUGUAAAUGAUGGGAUAAGUUUUCCCGGUAUUGACUAAUACCUCCAACCAAAAAUGGGAUAAAAUAAUCCUUUAUAUUAUUCGGGGACUACAUGUCCCUUAUACCUCACACCAAACGAAGGGUUGUUUGAUCCAUGAAUAAGUUAUACUAAAAUUAUAAUGUGACAAAUAUAAUACAACGAUUAAAUAAAGCACUUAUGUAGUUGAUAGAUUUUUAUUGUUAUGAUUUUAAUCUAUUGAGAUAUUCAUGAUAUGAUAUAAAAUAUGCGUAUAGUUAAAUAGAAUUGUAUACACUCUACUUUUUUGAUCCCACUUUGUGGGAGUAUACUAGGUAUAUUGUGGUAUUUUGGAGAAAAGUUUGGGGAACGACAAAUAUCUUCUUUGUUGCAUUAUCCCUGGAUUAGUAAUUUUGUAUUGUCAUCCCAUAUAGAUGUAAUAUAAAAAUAGUACUAUCAUAAUUGUGGUAUACGUAACUUUGGAUUGCUAAUCUCAAUUUAAAAUGGAUAUAACAAUGUCAAGCGUUAUCCUGAAAUUAUAAUCUGUUUGUCCUUGUAACCAAAUGACUCCUAGGUAUUAAAAUUCUUUUACACUACAUGUGUUUCUUUUAUAAGUUGUAAUAGGUUAUCUCCCCCCCAUUUUCUAGGUUAUUGAUGCUACAUUUGAAGUUACAACCAGUUAUUUUCUGGAAUUAAGUUGCAUCCUUAACACAACUAGUUUAAGUUAAUUUGUGAUAAUAGGUUAUUUGUCAUUAUCAGGUUACCAAUAAAUGAUUAUCAUAGAGAUUUGUUAGUAAAUUACUUAUUAAAGGAAUUGAUUCUGUCAAUAUUUAUUAUAUAGCCGGUGCAUAUGCAGCACAAACUUGUUAUCUUUUAAAUAAUUGGAUAGUGUUAUUUUC